AACGUAGGGUGCAAACGUUGCUCGGAAUCAUUGGGCGUAAAGCGCACGUAGGCGGAUUUUUAAGUCAGAGGUGAAAUGCCAGGGCUCAACCUUGGAACUGCCUUUGAUACUGGGGAUCUGGAGUCCGGGAGAGGUGAGUGGAACUGCGAGUGUAGAGGUGAAAUUCGUAGAUAUUCGCAAGAACACCCGUGGCGAAGGCGGGCUUCUGGCUAAUGACUGACGCUGAGGUGCGAAAGCUAGGGGAGCGAACGGG
rnacentral:rRNA from 1 species